ACUCCUACGGGAGGCAGCAGUGGGGAAUAUUGCACAAUGGGCGCAAGCCUGAUGCAGCCAUGCCGCGUGUAUGAAGAAGGCCUUCGGGUUGUAAAGUACUUUCAGCAGUGAGGAAGGCGGUACGUUAUAGUACGUGCUCGUUGAUCGUUUAGCUGCAGAAGAAGACACCGGCGUAACUCCGUGCCAGCAGCCGCGGUAAUACGGAGGGUGCGAGCGUUAAUCGGAAUUACUGGGCGUAAAGCGCAUGCAGGUGGUUUGUUAAGUCAGAUGUGAAAGCCCGGGGCUCAACCUCGGAAUAUGACA
rnacentral:rRNA from 1 species